CCUACGGGUGGCAGCAGUGAGGAAUAUUGCUCAAUGGGGGAAACCCUGAAGCAGCAACGCCGCGUGGAGGAUGAAGGUUUUCGGAUUGUAAAAUCCUUUUGGUAGAGGAGAUAAUGACCGUAUGUAAGGGAUAAGCAGAGUAUAACUCGGUGCCAGCAGGCUCGGUAAUACGGAGGGAGCAAGCGUUAUACGGAAGCACUGGGCGUAAAGAGCGCGGAGGGGGGAUCGAAAGUCAGAUGUGAAAUCCUAUGGCUUAACCAGAGAACUGCCUUUGAAACUGUUAUUCUAGAGUAGGGGAGAGGUAGGUGGAAUUCUUGGUGUAGGGGUAAAAUACGUAGAGAUCAAGAGGAACACUCAUUGCGAAGGCGACCUGCUAGAACAUAACUGACGCUGAUGCGCGAAAGCGUGGGGAGCAAACAGGAUUAGAUACCCCAGUAGUC
rnacentral:rRNA from 1 species